rnacentral:rRNA from 1 species
AAACGGGAGCAGACUAACAGGAUUCCCCUAGUAACUGCGAGUGAAGCGGGAAAAGCUCAAAUUUAAAAUCUGGCAGUCUCUGGCUGUCCGAGUUGUAAUCUAGAGAAGUAAUGCCCGUGCUGGACCGUGUAUAAGUCUCCUGGGAUGGGGCGUCAUAGAGGGUGAGAAUCCCGUCUUUGACACGGACUACCAGUGCAUUGUGGUAUGCUCUCAAAGAGUCGAGUUGUUUGGGAAUGCAGCUCAAAAUGGGUGGUAAAUUCCAUCUAAAGCUAAAUAUUGGCGAGAGACCGAUAGCGAACAAGUACCGUGAGGGAAAGAUGAAAAGAACUUUGGAAAGAGAGUUAAACAGUACGUGAAAUUGCUGAAAGGGAAACGCUUGAAGUCAGUCGCGUUGGCCGGGAAUCAGCCUUGCUCUUGCAUGGUGUACUUUCUGGUUGACGGGUCAGCAUCAAUUUUGACCGCUGGAAAAAGACCUGGGGAAUGUGGCAGCUUCGGCUGUGUUAUAGCCCCUAGUCGCAUACAGUGGUUGGGAUUGAGGAACUCAGCACGCCGCAAGGCCGGGUUUCGACCACGUUCGUGCUUAGGAUGCUGGCAUAAUGGCUUUAAGCGACCCGUCUUGAAACACGGACCAAGGAGUCUAACAUGCCUGCGAGUAUUUGGGUGGAAAACUCAAGUGCGUAAUGAAAGUGAAAGUUGAGAUCCCUGUCGUGGGGAGCAUCGACGCCCGGACCAGAACUUUUGGGACGGAUCCGCGGUGGAGCAUGUAUGUUGGGACCCGAAAGAUGGUGAACUAUGCCUGAAUAGGGUGAAGCCAGAGGAAACUCUGGUGGAGGCUCGUAGCGAUUCUGACGUGCAAAUCGAUCGUCAAAUUUGGGUAUAGGGGCGAAAGACUAAUCGAACCAUCUAUGCAC